GCCGUCAUGGCAGCGGCUCUGCCCCGCCGAGCGGCCCGCCCCGGCCCAACGACAGCACCGUGGGGCGCGAUCGGCACUGGCCUGGCUGACACUAGGACGCGGUGUUGCAAAAAACACAUUAACCACUGUUCUGGAAAGAGACUCAGAGUUCUUACUAGUUCCUGGAAGCCACAGAUCUCUCCAGCAGCUCUUAGGUAAUUCUCUUCCCUCAGACAUAAAUGAUGGUUAUUCUGGAGAUAAACUUUUUUUCCGUGUAGAAGACAAGAACUGUUUUUUCUUUUGCCUCAAAGCUUGCUUCUUGUGAGACAUUCCGUUUUUCUUUUUUCAGUUUAGGAUACUUCUGCAACCUUUAACCAAAAUUAUGACCACAGAUGGUCUUCUUCUAUUCAAAAUAAAUCGUCAGUAUAAGAGUAAACGAAUCAGACUUACACGUCUGUAAGCGUUGUGUUUUAAAUGAACAGACAAAAGACAACUUCACAGAAUACACAAAAAUAUACUGUAACAUUCUGGUUCCAUUAGUAAGUUCACUGAAAAACUUGUGCACGAUAACUGAUUUAAACUGCAUUUAAACAUGAGAACCUUCUGCUAUCAUACUGAAUUGAAAGUGUGAAAAAAUCUAAAAUAAAACAAUAGGCCAUGCUCAUUCUUCCCAAGUUUCUGAAAUCUGGGAGGAAUUUGAGAGAAGACAUGGUGAAUUUGGGGAUCUGUCCUCUUCAUGGCUAGAUGAGGUAUCAACUCUUUUCCUGGUCUGUCCACACAAAAAUGAAAAGGAGCAAGAACUUUUCAGGUUUCUUUUCAUGGACAAGUCAUGCAGUCUAAUGGUCAUCAAAAAAAACCAACAAAGCUUUGUUGUGAGUGCACGUUGUUAGGCUAAAAUGAGUAAUAUUGCAUACAUUUGGUUUAUAGAUCCUCCAGGUCACAAAGAUCAUUUCCACAAAACACGUGAGGCAUCUUACACAGUAAGUAAUUUUAUCUCAAGUGUGCAGUUUUUUAACCUUUCACUCUGUUAGAAAAAGGCUAGAUACAGAAAAAGAUAUGUCAUUAAUACGUUGCAUAUAUAAAAUAAGAUACAUAAUAUGAAAGCAUGAACUCAUUGAUAAGUAUACAAUGAGGAACGUAAAAUUAAUGAGAUUGAUACAAAAGGAUCUGUUCAGUAAGGUUCUUCAUUAGUUCCCACUAAAUUUAGGAUAUAGUGGGGCUUUGAGCAUAUUCCAGGUUCAGCAUUUUAAUUUAGUGAAAACAGAAAAAAAAUACAAAAAAAUACCAAAAUAUAUUGUAUGUAAAACCACAGGUUACUCUUGGUACAGUGCCCAUAUGUAGUUUAGUUAAACACCAGGCUACAUCCUUUGUCUUUAUUAGUCCUAUCAUUAUGUCUUCUUAAAUUGUGGUCUAAUCUGGAAACAUUCUGCAUACAACACCUGCCCAACAUUGUUCAUGCAUGAAGACAAGAAUAAAUACAAAUGAACAGUUUUACAAAGUAUAAUGUUUCUUUCUCUUGGGCUGAAAGAAAAAAGUCUUAUUGUUUUAAAAUUGCAAAUAUUCAAAAAAAGGUAAAAAUCAAUAUUCUUAUGUUGCAGUACACAGAAGUAUGUAGCAUUUUAUAAGCUAGUAACUGAAUUUAAUUAACGUGGAUUUGGUAACCCAUCCCUUACAUGAAAAUUAUUUUAAACUUACUAAAGCAGGGCAUCGUAUCUAUCCAAUGAUCAUUAAGAAUUGUUACAGUUUGACUCAUGCUAUUCAUGACUAAGACAUAAUGACCAUGCUGCCAUUACAGAUCUUAUUCCUAACUACUUUAAUACUUCUACUCUUCAGCCAGCAUUUUGAUCUCAAGCUCCUAUUUGGUAAAUGACAAUUUAAAAGUCGUAACUUCAAUGAGACCCAUUCAUGUUUCCUUAAAAACAUAAAUGAAAAUGGGUUUAUUACCACAACAGAUACAACACUGGUGUGAUAGCUAUGUGGGAUUUGUCCAUUUACCCCAGGGAGAGCGAUGUGAUUCCAGAAUGUAUGCGAUCCCAUCUACAUCUAAUGUAGACAGGGCACACGGGCCGUUUUGCCCUGAAUAUAUUCCUGUCUGUAUUACAAUACGUUAUGUGCACAUCCUGGUGCACAUACUAUUUUCAUCUGAUAACUUUAUCGUAUUUUAGUAUAUCAGCAAAUUACAAAGUUAUUACAGGAGAUAUCUUGCAAGAUCUGUUGAAGUCAGUAUGGACAAAAUUAUAAAGUUACUGCUGAAGUCAUCAAGGAAGUUGAACGCAAUAGAUGAUGAGCUACAUAUGAGAAUAUGUGUCUAAUUUUAAACACAUCCCGAACUCACUAAUGCACAGUCAAGGCAUCUGCAGGGUAGUGUUGACAGAAACUGUCAUUACAGAUAGCUAUGAAAAGGCAGUGAGCUUUAAUCAUCAAGAAUGAUACUCAUUCUGUAUGGAAGAAUCAGUAUGAGAAAGAUCUAGAAAGAAGAUAAAUAAAUAUAAUGAGAGUUUACAGAUGCAGAGCAAAGAGAUGUACCUAUGAAACAAAUGCAUUUCUUGCUAGCCACACAGAGGAUGCUCUGUUAGCAGAGGGAAAGACACACACAAGGAAACAGUUUUAUUCCUUUUCAUCCUAGAAAGUGGUUUUAUGGUAUUUAUUCCUUUUCCUACACCAAUCUGAAUGUAAGAGCUGCUGGGGCCAUGAGGCUUUAAGGCUACAGAACACAAAGUUCAUA